AGCUUUGCGAAGAGGCGAUAUCGUAACCAAUGAGGAUUAUCCGAGGUGCGAUUAUUAUUAAUUGAUAUUGAUCAAUUAAACAAUUUAUGCUCAAUCAUUGGUCAAUUUUCUCGCAAUUAUUUGG
rnacentral:snRNA from 1 species